rnacentral:piRNA from 1 species
AAUGCUAGCAGAAUAUUGUGGCGUAAGAUAAAGAGCAUACAACAUCAUGGUGUGAAACGAAAUAAUUUCAAGGUGGUAAUGGUGGCAUAUAGGUAACUCAGUCUCUUGAAGCGAAUCCAUAGAUUGUCACCCAUUAAUUCUAUACUGCUGUUUAGAUAUCUAUUUUGUCAAGCUGAAUAUCUCUCUCCAGACUGACAGUUUAGAAGUCUUGGCACUUUACACAAUUGUACAUGCAGUGGAUUGAAGUAUUUCUUUACUAAAAUUUGUUUAAUGUGGAUUUUUCGUACCCUGGUCUUGUAUGAAAUUCAGUCAACUUAAAAAAAAGUCUAAGUUCAUAUCGAGUUUAAAUAAUGCUGUGUGCGCCAGGUAUAACCUGGGCAGCGGGCCUGUCAUCCUGAGGUCCCCCCAGCGCGUACUACCGGGCAAGUUCCACCGGCUUGUGGCCAAGCGUUAUUUACAGGAGGGCAUGAUAGCUCUGGACGGCCAAGACGAUGUAAUGGGUCGCAGUCAAGGGCUGUUGAAGUCUCUGGACUUGGGGCAGAAUCUCUUCCUGGGCCACGUACCUGACAACACAGGGUAGGUUUUCUCUCACUGAAGGCAAUUAGGUAUAUCUAUAUAUAUAAAAAUGAAUGUUUGUAUGUUUGUUUGUAUGUCCUGUAUACAAAUUCGCAGUAGUUCACUAAUUCAAACCAAAAUUUCAAUACAUAGGUAAAAAAUACGGGAAAGACGAUAGGCUAUUUUAAAAAAUAAAUAAAUCAAUUAUUAAAACUAUAUAUUUUUAGUCAGAAAAUGAUGAUGACGAUAUUGCUGCAUCAUGUUUGAUUAUCAGAUACAAAAUUAUAUCGGGAAAAAUUCCAAAAAGCAGAGACCACGGGUGAAACCAGUUCAUUAUUUUGUACGCAGGAACAAAAUUCUAACAGAAAAACAUUCUUCCGAGCAGAAAACAAAAGCCAGAUCAUCUUUCUAUAAAAAUAUCGCUUCUCAGACACAAAGUUUGGAGCGGGACGUUUCACAAGAGUGACAUCCACGGCGCCAAUUUAUAAUUGUAACGAAUAGUAUUUGAAUAAAAACAUUUAAUCGGGUAAAACCCGGGCAUUGCCCGGGUCAUUCGGCUAGUAUUGUUAUAUAUAAGGCCGCGGCCGUAAAUCUGAACCAUUCUUUCAUACCAUAGUCUAGGUUCUAUGUUCUGGUGAUCUUAUGAAUACAUUAAAAUGUGUCACACUAAGCUAUAUAGAGAGGUCCAUUUUUAAAAUGACUGUCAACAUUUUUGGUCAAAUGAUCUUUUCUUAAGCGAUGACCUAUUCAAUAAGGCCAGAGACCACAAAAACGACUCACCACGUACCACAGGAUUUACAUUUUCUAAAGCUGUCAUUUAAAACUGCUUUAAUGAAAUUCAUUAAAUUUUUAUCAAACGUAUUUUAAGAUAUUAGUUUUUUUUUAAUUUUAUUAGAUAAAAGUGAACAGUAUCGUGUUAAAUAAUUUUAAAUUCACCAAAUUUUAGUUUCAUUAGUAUAAGAGAAACUCAAAAGAAUUCGCCUGAAUACAGUGAUGGUGAGUCCCUUGACUGACAGUUGACUGAUUUUAUUCUAUUUCAAAUUUGAAAAAAAAAAACAUAGUUUUUAAGUGCUAGCCUCAGUUUGAAGGCUGGCCAUCAGUCUCGUCAAAUAUUACGAUCUUCUGCCAAUGAUAAUGGCAAUAUGGUCAGAUUUUAAUCUAUAUUAGUAUAUCAAUCUAGUUGUUAAACGUCUGUCUCUUCUGGGAUACUUCCGGUAGUAAAGGUUCAGUAUAUUUAGAACACUCUCUCGCCACAAUAUUUAGAAAGUACUCAAGGAGACAUAUGAUAGAUACAGUUGCAUAUUUAAAAGAUGUUCAGGUUCAGUAUAUUAACGGGGCUGCCUGUACAUUGAGAUCACAAUACUAAAGGAACGUGUCUGUAUCCAGGAUCUGGGAGAACGUGGGAGUCCGUACAGGACUGGUGGGUUGCAUUCGACGUCUGAAAGUGGGACGUAAGCUGCUGGACCUUAGGUUCCCCACUUCGAAGGACAUCUUGAGGGCCAAGGACAUUCGGGAGUGUACAGAUGGACCUUGUGACUGGCGCCCCUGCCGGAAUGGGGCGACCUGUCUUGGUCCUCCGCAGGCCUUCCUGCAGUGUGUCUGUGCUCCAAAGUUUACUGGUACCUAUCAUAUAUUUUAUCUUAUAUAGAUACUUAUGUAUACCUAAUGCACACACAUACACAGUCUAUUAAUCUACAUCUUUGCUCAAUUAAAUUCUAAAUUGCUGAGUUAGCUCAACAAAUAUAUUUUCAGUUUAGAUAUCCUUAUAAUCCAGAGUGGCAUAGUCAACGGGCUAAUGUACUAGAAUAUGAUUUAUCUACAUGUAUAUAAAAUUUCUUACAUCAUGUGACAUAUCCAGAACGUGUCUUCAGGCCAAUUCUGCGAAGUCCCCAUCAACCCUUGUUACAACAAUCCAUGUAGAGAGGGCAGCACUGUCAAGCUCUUCCCCAGGGUGGCUUCGUGUGUCUCUGCGACGUGGGAAGCAGAGGGCGCUUUUGUGAACUACGUGAGUAGCAAUCUGCUAUGGACCUCAAGGGAACGACCCAUCUGAUGAAGACAAC